GAUGAACGCUGGCGGUGUGCCUAAUACAUGCAAGUCGAGCGAACAGACGAGGAGCUUGCUCCUCUGACGUUAGCGGCGGACGGGUGAGUAACACGUGCAUAACCUACCUAUAAGACUGGGAUAACAUCGGGAAACCGGAGCCAAUACCGGAUAAUAUAUUGAACCGCAUGGUUCAAUAGUGAAAGACGGUUUUGCUGUAACUUAUAGAUGGAUCCGCGCUGCAUUAGCUAGUUGGUAAGGUAACGGCUUACCAAGGCAACGAUGCGUAGCCGACCGGAGAGGGUGAUCGGCCACACUGGAACUGAGACACGGUCCAGCCUCCUACGGGAGGCAGCAGUAGGGUAUCUUCCGCAAUGGGCGAAAGCUUGACGGAGCAACGCCGCGUGAGUGAUGAAGGUCUUCGGAUCGUACAACUCUGUUAUUAGGGAAGAACAAAUGUGUAAGUAACUAUGCACGUCUUGACGGUACCUAAUCAGCAAGCCACGGCUAACUACGUG
rnacentral:rRNA from 1 species